rnacentral:ribozyme from 1 species
GUAAGAGAGAAAUAAAACAGAAAAAAAAUGGUGAAAAGCUGUAAUAACUUUUGUCUGUUUUUAUUUACCAUCCUGAAUGAAUGAGUUUAUGUUUGGGUUUGUUUUCUCUACUCAU